ensembl:lncRNA
GGGCCCUGGUCCCCACCUUUGUGCCCUGGUCAAAAGUAAUGCACUAUAUAGGGAAUCAUUUAGGAUGCAUAUGAUGUCACUGACAGUAAAUCCAUAGAAAGCUAAUGGAGGUUGUUUGUCAUGUUUCCUGUUAGAACAAAUACAUGUCUACAGCUGCACACGGACAGACAGUGACUUAAUGAAUGACAGACAGUGACUUAAUGAAUGGCAGACAGUGACUUAAUGAAUGACAGACAGUGACUUAAUGAAUGACAGACAGUGAGUUAAUGAAUGACAGACAGUGACUUAAUGAAUGGCAGACAGUGACUUAAUGAAUGACAGACAGUGACUUAAUGAAUGACAGACAGUGACUUAAUGAAUGACAGACAGUGACUUAAUGAAUGACAGUGACUUAAUGAAUGACAGACAGUGACUUAAUGAAUGACAGACAGUGAGUUAAUGAAUGACAGACAGUGACUUAAUGAAUGGCAGACAGUGACUUAAUGAAUGACAGACAGUGACUUAAUGAAUGACAGACAGUGACUUAAUGAAUGACAGACAGUGACUUAAUGAAUGACAGACAGUGAGUUAAUGAAUGACAGUGACUUAAUGAAUGACAGACAGUGACUUAAUGAAUGACAGUGACUUAAUGAAUGACAGACAGUGACUUAAUGAAUGACAGACAGUGAGUUAAUGAAUGACAGACAGUGACUUAAUGAAUGACAGACAGUGACUUAAUGAAUGACAGACAUGCGUAAGUAAGCACUUUAAGAGAUCGCUACUCCCCCUUCUGAGUCAAUAAUGAAAUGUGUGUGUGUGUGUGUGUGUGUGUAUCAUUUCCUAUCAGAUAAUUAGCUCAUCGUGGGUGAGAUGACUUGGUAACAUAGCAGCUAGUGAGACUAGACCAGACAAUACCAAUAAUAAUGAAUGAAUGACAAAAGCACAUCAAUAUACAAGCAGCACAGCACUGUAUGAAACAGCUUGGCCAAAUAACCUUUUGACCUUCUGAGCGUGACAAAAUAUGGAAUCUACCAUUUGCAGUUAGUUGGUGUCCAUUUUGUCUUUAACUGCCAAUAGUCCGUUGUUUUCCCCUGUCUGUUUGGUCUCCUGUUCGGUGCUAGUGUGAUGUAACAGCACCUAUAGGACCAGAGUUAAGGCUGUCUAAUAGCAUUAAAACCGCCACGGCAGCAAACAGAGACAACCCUCCCUCCUCUAACAGUAUCUGUGCCCUAUUGGACCAGUGUUACAAGUGAGGGCUUGCUCCGGGUCCAGGGUGUUAAAAUCACUAAAGCCCAAAUCUCUUCACCCAGGAUCCAAUAAGUACACUGUCUGUCCCCUCUCUCCCAGGGUUGAGACAUCUCUGUCCCCUCUCUCCCAGGGUUGAGACAUCUCUGUCCCCUCUCUCCCAGGGUUGAGACAUCUCUGUCCCCUCUCUCCCAGGGUUGAGACAUCUCUGUCCCCUCUCUCCCAGGGUUGAGACAUCUCUGUCCCCUCUCUCCCAGGGUUGAGACAUCUCUGUCCCCUCUCUCCCAGGGUUGAGACAUCUCUGUCCCCUCUCUCCCAGGGUUGAGACAACUCUGUCCCGUCUCUCCCAGGGUUGAGACAACUCUGUCCCGUCUCUCUCUCAGAUAGGCAUCCAUCUGCCUUCAUCCCUCUCUU